AUGCCCAAUGAUUAUAACAAGACGCGUUAUUACGAGGAUCAAAACUGGAACUCCCCUUCUACAUUCCUGCUAUUCACUUCCCCCCUCCAAGUUAUCUAUCUUUUUACCUCUUGCUUCCCCCUCUCCCCCUUUUCUUGGAGUUUCAUUCCUCUACCUCUCUUUCCUUCCUCCUUGGAGUUUCCAGUGUCCUAUGAGCAAGAUUAUGAGAUAUGAGGGCAA